UACAGAGGGUGCGAGCGUUAAUCGGAAUUACUGGGCGUAAAGCGUGCGUAGACGGUCAUGUAAGUCGGGUGUGAAAGCCCCGGGCUCAACCUGGGAAUUGCAUUCGAGACUGCAUGGCUAGGAUGCGGAAGAGGGAAGCGGAAUUUCCGGUGUAGCGGUGAAAUGCGUAGAUAUCGGAAGGAACACCUGUGGCGAAAGCGGCUCACUGGACCAUAACUGACGCUGAGGCACGAAAGCUAGGGGAGCAAACAGG
rnacentral:rRNA from 1 species